rnacentral:rRNA from 1 species
AGAGUUUGAUCCUGGCUCAGAACAAACGCUGGCGGCGUGCCUAACACAUGCAAGUCGUACGAGAAAGUCCGCUUCGGUGGAUAAGUAAAGUGGCGCACGGGUGAGUAACGCGUGGAUAAUCUACCCUUAAGUUGGGAAUAACUCAUCGAAAGGUGGGCUAAUACCGAAUGAUACUGUAUAACUACUGUUGUGCAGUCAAAGAAGGCCUCUGUUUACAAGCUUUUGCUGAAGGAUGAGUCCGCGUACCAUUAGCUAGUUGGUAGGGUAAUGGCCUACCAAGGCUACGAUGGUUAGCUGGUCUGAGAGGAUGAUCAGCCACACUGGAACUGAGACACGGUCCAGACUCCUACGGGAGGCAGCAGUGAGGAAUAUUGCGCAAUGGGGGCAACCCUGACGCAGCAACGCCGCGUGAGUGAGGAAGGUUUUCGGAUCGUAAAGCUCUGUCGAGCGGGAAGAAAUGUGUGGUGGCUAAUAUCCAUCAUGCUUACGGUACCGCUAAAGGAAGCACCGGCUAACUCCGUGCCAGCAGCCGCGGUAAUACGGGGGGUGCAAGCGUUGUUCGGAAUUAUUGGGCGUAAAGAGCGUGUAGGCGGCUGGAUAAGUCAGAUGUGAAAGCCCUGGGCUUAACCCAGGAAGUGCAUUUGAAACUGUCCGGCUUGAGUAAGGGAGAGGAAAGUGGAAUUCCUGGUGUAGAGGUGAAAUUCGUAGAUAUCAGGAGGAACACCGGUGGCGAAGGCGACUUUCUGGCCCUAUACUGACGCUGAGACGCGAGAGCGUGGGUAGCAAACAGGAUUAGAUACCCUGGUAGUCCACGCGGUAAACGAUGUUCACUAGGUGUUGGGGGUAUUGACCCUCUCAGUGCCGCAGCUAACGCAUUAAGUGAACCGCCUGGGGAGUACGGUCGCAGAUUAAACUCAAGGAAUUGACGGG